rnacentral:rRNA from 1 species
UAUUACAGUUACAUUACACUGAAUAUACUGGUUCUCGUCCGAUAAUCAAAGGUAAUCAAUGUCGAGCCUAGAUAGUAUUUAGGUAGGUGUCUGCUUGGGAAACCAAAGUGCCAUAAGCA